rnacentral:sRNA from 1 species
UACAGAAUUGUUGAAGGCAAGUGGU